AGCGUGCACGGUGGAUGCCUUGGCAGUCAGAGGCGAUGAAGGACGUGGUAAUCUGCGAAAAGCUCGGGGGAGUUGAUAAACAAGCGUUAAUCCCGAGAUGUCCGAAUGGGGAAACCCACCCGCUUGCGGGUAUCGUAUGGUGAAUACAUAGCCAUACGAGGCGAACCCGGGGAACUGAAACAUCUAAGUACCCGGAGGAAAAGAAAUCAACCGAGAUUCCCUAAGUAGCGGCGAGCGAACGGGGAUUAGCCCUUAAGUUAAUUUGGUGUUAGUAGAAGGUUCUGGAAAGGACCGCCGUAGAGAGUGAAAGCCUCGUAUACGAAAAUGCCCUUUUAAUGAAAACGAGUAGGACGGGACACGUGACAUCCUGUCUGAAUAUGGGGGGACCAUCCUCCAAGGCUAAAUACUCCUGACUGACCGAUAGUGAACCAGUACCGUGAGGGAAAGGCGAAAAGAACCCCUGUGAGGGGAGUGAAAUAGAUCCUGAAACCGUGUACGUACAAGCAGUGGGAGCGGACUUGUUCCGUGACUGCGUACCUUUUGUAUAAUGGGUCAACGACUUAUUUUCAGUAGCAAGGUUAACCGAAUAGCGGAGCCGUAGGGAAACCGAGUCUUAAUAGGGCGUAUAGUUGCUGGGAAUAGACCCGAAACCGGGCGAUCUAUCCAUGGGCAGGUUGAAGGUUGAGUAACACCAACUGGAGGACCGAACCCACGUACGUUGAAAAAUGAGGGGAUGACCUGUGGAUAGGAGUGAAAGGCUAAUCAAGCUCGGAGAUAGCUGGUUCUCCUCGAAAGCUAUUUAGGUAGCGCCUCGUAUCUCACCAUUGGGGGUAGAGCACUGUUUGGGCUAGGGGGUCAUCCCGACUUACCAACCCCAUGCAAACUCCGAAUACCAAUGAGUGCAAUUACGGGAGACACACGGCGGGUGCUAACGUCCGUCGUGGAAAGGGAAACAACCCAGACCGUCAGCUAAGGUCCCCAAGUUACAGUUAAGUGGGAAACGAUGUGGGAAGGCUUAGACAGCUAGGAGGUUGGCUUAGAAGCAGCCACCCUUUAAAGAAAGCGUAAUAGCUCACUAGUCGAGUCGGCCUGCGCGGAAGAUAUAACGGGGCUAAAACUGUACACCGAAGCUACGGACGCAGAACUUGUUCUGCGUGGUAGAGGAGCGUUCUGUAAGUGGAUGAAGGUUAAGCCGGGAGGCAAGCUGGACAUAUCAGAAGUGCGAAUGUUGACAUGAGUAACGAUAAGGGGGGUGAAAAACCUCCCCGCCGGAAGACCAAGGGUUCCUGUCCAACGCUAUUCGUGGCAGGGUGAGUCGGCCCCUAAGGCGAGGCAGAGAUGCGUAGUCGAUGGGAAGCGGGUUAAUAUUCCCGCACAUUUUAUAACUGCGAUGGAGAGACGGAGCAGGCUAGGCGAGCGCGGCGAUGGUUGUCCGUGUUUAAGCGAGUAGGUUGGGGGAUUAGGCAAAUCCGGUCCCCUAUUAAGACUGAGACGUGAUGACGAGGUCCUAAGGGAUUGAAGUUGUUGAUGCCAUGCUUCCAGGAAAAUCUUCUAAGCUUCAGGUUGUAAUGUACCGUACCCCAAACCGACACAGGUGGUCAGGUAGAGAAUACUAAGGCGUAUGAGAGAACUCGGGUGAAGGAACUAGGCAAAAUGGUGCCGUAACUUCGGGAGAAGGCACGCCACUGAUGGUGAUGGAAUUUACUUCCUAAGCUGUUGGUGGUCGAAGAUACCAGGUGGCUGCGACUGUUUAUUAAAAACACAGCACUGUGCAAACACGAAAGUGGACGUAUACGGUGUGACGCCUGCCCGGUGCCGGAAGGUUAAUUGAUUGGGUUAGCUCUGCGAAGCUCAUGAUCGAAGCCCCGGUAAACGGCGGCCGUAACUAUAACGGUCCUAAGGUAGCGAAAUUCCUUGUCGGGUAAGUUCCGACCUGCACGAAUGGCGUAACGAUGGCCACACUGUCUCCACCCGAGACUCAGUGAAAUUGAAAUCGCAGUGAAGAUGCUGUGUAUCCGCGGCUAGACGGAAAGACCCCGUGAACCUUUACUAUAGCUUCACAGUGAACUUUGAACCUACUUGUGUAGGAUAGGUGGGAGGCUUUGAAACCAAGACGCUAGUUUUGGUGGAGCCACUCUUGAAAUACCACCCUGGUAUGUUUGAGGUUCUAACUCAGGUCCCUUAUCGGGAUCGAGGACACUGUGUGGUGGGUAGUUUGACUGGGGCGGUCUCCUCCCAAAGAGUAACGGAGGAGCACGAAGGU
rnacentral:rRNA from 1 species